CGCUGCCGCCGCCGCCUCCCUAGGUUGCUCCGCGAGGUAAGGCCGGCCUGGUGGGGGGACCUACGGGCGGCCCUGCAAGGGGACGCGGGACCGGGCUCGGGCCGUCGUGGGCCUCGGGGUCCCCCGGCCGUCUGGGGAGACCUCUGCUGGACAGCUGCUCAUUUGCGAUUCCACGUCACUGGUAAUUUACCCAUUAGGGAUCCCAGCUGCCCGGGCCGAACUUGGCCGGUGAUCCCCCGCCCCAUAAGGGGCCUCCGCCUCUGGCGGAACCCUGGCUCCCACCUUCUGCCGUUGACCACCUCAUCUGGGGCUCUGGAUGUUCUUUAAGGGACACACCAGACACAAAGGGACAGAGGGCAGCCGGGAACAGUGCCAGACCUGGAGAACCAGCGGGGCAGCCUAGAGCCUGGGGCGGGGGUCCUGGCGUCCCUGUGGCCCUGCUCGGGGAAGCGCUGGUCAGGCGCCCUUCAGGGUUCUCCGCACGUUUUUUCUGCCUGUAGCUGCCACACCCUGUCCCCCAUGCCCACUGUUAGGGGACACUUGUGGCAGCUGGAUUCAGUCUCAGCACCUGCGGUCUGGCUUCUUGAAUUGUGUGCCAAAUUGCCAUGCCUCAAUUUCCCCAGAGUCCUGGGUUCUGGGUCAGCUGUGUCCCUGGAGACCUUGAGCUAAUUAUUUGCCAUUUGGACAGCAUCUUUCCUGAAUGCUCACUACCUGCUAAACAUUUUGCAGAAUGGCUCAUCAGGAUUUAUUCAGUCCUUCCCAGAGGGAUGGAUAUUAAUAUUCUCAUUUUAUAAGUGAGGCUCAGCCUGACUCACUGAGGCAGUGCUUUUGGUGCCUUUCCCAUAGUUUGCCAGUGGGUGUUCCUCGUUCUAGCCCAUUGGACCCACUCCACAGCCCAUUUGGCAGAUGAAGAAACUGAGGCUGGCGAAAGUGAAGUGACAGUCUUAAGCCGAGGGGACAGCUUGGCCCUGGAACCAGAGGGAGGCCAGGCUCCCUCUAGCUUCCUGCCUGGCCAUGGGCUGUUGAAUCAACAGCAGUGCCCAUAGCGGACUCUGAACUUCCUGGAAAACAGCAUGAGUGUGAGGAGAUAAGUGCGUGACCAGAACCUCCCAGAGGCCAGAGCCCGCACCCCUGCUGCUGCUUUCCCUCUCGCUUCUAGCUGGGCUGGAGGAGGCAAGGGUUGGCUGGUGACCUUGGGCCAGGCUGGCCCCAUUUGGGCAGUAGCGGGAGGAGGGCUGCUGAGCAUCAGGUAAAUUGCUCUUCCUUGGCUGUCAAUGGGGUGAGGAGACCCCAAGAUCAGCCCCUUUGUGCUGGUUGCCUAGAGCAUAUGACUCUGGGUAUAGCAUUGUGCCUUUGGCAAGUUACUUCACCUCUCGGUCUCCAUUUUCCACACCUAUGUGUGCAGGUUGAGGAAUAGAUCCCUUCUUAUGGGAGGGAUCAGAAGAUCCCUUUUGAGGGGUUUCAGAAGAUAAUCGUCUGAUUCAUUCAACAGGUAUUUGAGCACCAACUACAUGCCAGGCACUGGAAUCCAGGCAAAAAGCCCUCUGCCCUCCUAGAACAGGCAAAGACAACCCAGGUAAUUUCAGGUUGGCGUAUAGGAGAGUGACGGGGGAUGGGGGUGGGGGCUCAUGUGUACAGGGUGGUCAGGGACUGCUUCCCUGAGGAGGUGAUGGUCAGGCUGAAACUGAAGGAUGAGAAGUCAGCCAUGUGAAGCUAGGAGAAGGGCAGUCCAGACAGAGGGGCAAAGGCUGCUGUGUUUGAGGAACAGCAAGGAGGCCAGGUGGCUGGAGCUGAAUGAGCAAGGGGGAGAGAGGCAGGGGAGGGGAACUUGGAGGCCAUGGGGAGGACCAAAUUUAAUACUGGGACAAGUAGGGAGCCAUGGGAGAGUUUAUAGUGGAGGAGGGGUGUGGUUGGACUUAUCUUAACAGGAUCCCUCUGUGGGGAAUGGAUUAUAGUGGGGUCAGGGGAGGGGCCUAGGAGGGAGUUUGGCUCUUACCUUGAAGAACACAGACAGGGAAGGGGCAAGUGUGGAAGCAGGGAGACAGGAGGUGACUGCAGCUGUCUGGGCGAGUGACAAUAGAGACCUAGAGUGGGGAGGUGGUAGAGGGCAGAGAUUAUGCCACUGAUUUGGAAGAGGUUGCGGGGGGUGGGAAUCAACUGGGCCUGAUGGGUGCAGAGUGGCGGUGAGGGGAGAAGCUAAAGCCAUUUGCUGAGACGGAGUGCUGAGGAGAGCAUUUGGCAAGGCUGCGAAGAAUGUCUACAGCUACCACUGCUGAGUGUGUGCUGUGUGCCGGGCACCAUGCUCUGUGCCUUCUACAUAGUCACUAUGCCAUUGUCACAACACCCUGACUUAGGUGCUCUUAUGAUCCCAUUUUUCAGAUGUGGAAACAAAGGCCCAGAGAAGCUUAACGCUUGCCCGGGGUCACGCAUCCUGGACACUACAGAGCUGACAUUUGAACCCAGAGAAGAGCAAGCCGAGACCAGACUGGGCAGAGGGCAGGGAGGCAAGCGGUGGCCUGAGAGGUAGGAGGGAGACGGGGGCAAGUAGGGUGGGUGGUUCCUGUGAGAAAUGGAGCCAGGGUCCACAUGGAGUUGUUGGGGUGUUGGGGAGAAUGCAUGAGUCCUGUUUUGCAGAGAGAGAAACU
rnacentral:lncRNA from 1 species